UACGAAGGGUGCAAGCGUUACUCGGAAUUACUGGGCGUAAAGCGUGCGUAGGUGGUGAGUUAAGUCUGAUGUGAAAUCCCCGGGCUCAACCUGGGAAUGGCAUUGGAUACUGGCUCGCUAGAGUGCGGUAGGGGGUGGUGGAAUUCCCGGUGUAGCAGUGAAAUGCGUAGAGAUCGGGAGGAACAUCUGUGGCGAAGGCGGCCACCUGGACCAACACUGACACUGAGGCACGAAAGCGUGGGGAGCAAACAGG
rnacentral:rRNA from 1 species